rnacentral:rRNA from 1 species
CCCGACCUCCCAACCCUUUGUCUACUUGACCAUCGUUGCUUCGGCGAGCCCGUCCUCACGGACCGCCGGAGGGAUCUUUACUGGCCCUCUGGUCCGCGCUCGUCGGUAGCCCAACCUUUAAAAUCUUUAACUAAACGUGCCUUAAUCUAAGUACAAUUAUUAAAUAAAAGCAAAACUUUCAACAACGGAUCUCUUGGUUCUGGCAUCGAUGAAGAACGCAGCGAAAUGCGAUAAGUAAUGCGAAUUGCAGAAUUCCAGUGAGUCAUCGAAUCUUUGAACGCACAUUGCGCCCUUUGGUAUUCCGAAGGGCAUGCCUGUUCGAGCGUCAUUAUCACCCCUCAAGCCCUCGGCUUGGUGUUGGACGGUUUGGUGGAGGCCCCCUCGGGGGCUCCUGCCCCUCCCAAAGACAAUGACGGCGGCCUCGUUGGACCCCCGGUACACUGAGUUCUUCACGGGACACGUAUCGGACACAUGGGUUUACGGGACACGGUCUGCCUCCCCUCAGGGAGAAUCUUUCUAAGGUUGACCUCGGAUCAGGUAGGGAUACCCGCUGAACUUAAGCAUAUCAAUAA